rnacentral:rRNA from 1 species
UACGUAGGGUGCGAGCGUUAAUCGGAAUUACUGGGCGUAAAGUGUGCGCAGGUGGCUUCGCAAGUCGAGUGUGAAAUCCCCGGGCUUAACCUGGGAAUUGCGCUCGAAACUACGGAGCUGGAGUAUGGCAGAGGGAGGUGGAAUUCCACGUGUAGCGGUGAAAUGCGUAGAGAUGUGGAGGAACACCAAUGGCGAAGGCAGCCUCCUGGGCCAAGAUUGACGCUCAUGCACGAAAGCGUGGGGAGCAAACAGG